rnacentral:rRNA from 1 species
CCUAAAGGCGUAAUGAAAGUAAAGGUCGUCCUUGCGUCGACUGAGGGAGGAUGAGUUGUGUUAAGAUACAUCUCCGCACUCCCGGGGCGUCUCAUUCUCAUUAUGAGAAGAGGCGCACCUAGAGCGUACACGUUGGGACCCGAAAGAUGGUGAACUAUGCCUGGUCAGGACGAAGUCAGGGGAAACCCUGAUGGAGGUCCGUAGCGAUUCUGACGUGCAAAUCGAUCGUCGGAACUGGGUAUAGGGGCGAAAGACUAAUCGAACCAUCUAGUAGCUGGUUCCCUCCGAAGUUUCCCUCAGGAUAGCUGGCACUCGUUUUUUUAAACGAGUCUCAUCUGGUAAAGCGAAUGAUUAGAGGCCUUGGGGCCGAAACGACCUCAACCUAUUCUCAAACUUUAAAUGGGUGAGAUCUCUGGCUUGCUUGAAUAUAUGAAGCCAUGAGAUUUCGGAUCAGAGUGCCAAGUGG